rnacentral:rRNA from 1 species
AAGGAAUAUUGCUCAAUGGGAGAAAUCCUGAAGCAGCAACGCCGCGUGGAGGAUGAAGGGUCUAUGACUUGUAAACUCCUGUAAAGAAGGAAAAAAUUCCCAUUUGAUGGGAGAUGAUGGUACUUCUGGAGUAAGCCCCGGCUAACUACGUGCCAGCAGCCGCGGUAAUACGUAGGGGGCAAGCGUUGUCCGGAUUUACUGGGUGUAAAGGGUGCUCAGGCGGAGUUGUAAGUCAGAGGUGAAAUCUUACAGCUUAACUGUGAAACUGCCUUGGAUACUGCAGGACUAGAGUAUGGAAGAGAGUGAUGGAAUAUCUGGUGUAGCAGUGAAAUGCGUAGAUAUCAGAUAGAGCACCAAUGACGAAGGCAGUCACUUGGUCCAUUACUGACGCUAAAGCA